rnacentral:lncRNA from 10 species
GAAAUAUCCAGAAUAGAUAAAUCCACAGAGAGAGAAAACAACUUGGAAAUAUCCAGAAUAGAUAAAUCCACAGUGAGAGAAAACAGUCCCAGUAGUUAUCAGGGACUGGAGAGAGGGAAGAAUGAGAAGUGACUACUUCAUGGAUACAAGGUUUUCUCUGGGGGUGAUGAAAAUAUUUUGACAUCUGAUAAAGGUGGUGGUAGUACAGCACUGUGAAUGUACCAAUUGCCACUGAAUUGUGCAUUUUAAAGUGAUUGAUUUUAUGUGGAACAAAUUUCACUUUAAUUAUAAAAAGUGAAUAAACUUUUAGAAGCUAACCUUGGAAGAAGGUAGAGACUGGAAGGGAUCACAAGAAAGGCUUCUGGGAUGUUGGAAAACAGAUGGAAUCAUGUUACAGGAGAAUCCAAAGCAGAUGGGACGAAGGAAAAAAGAAGCAGAAUAUGCAAAGGAGACACAAGCAAUUUCAGAGCAGGAGGACAACCUUAGCUCUUUGGGAUGAAAAUGAAGAACAGCUGAGACAGUCACGCCUCUUCUCUUAAAAAUAGCUAAUAAACAUAUGAAACCAUAUCAAAUUUUCAUCAUACUUGGAGAAAUCUAAAGUAAAACUAGAUGCCAUUUAUCACCUCCUAAAUUGUUGACAUUGAAAAAAUAUGUUUAAUAGUGUUAGAGAGAAUUCAUUCAUUCACAGUACUAAUGUAAAUUGGCACACACUUUAGAGAGCUAUUUAAUGAUAUGGAUCUAAAAUGAGUGUUGUGUUCUUUACCUUGGCCAAUUACUUUAAUUGAACAUUAUAAAC